GCCGCGGUGGUGAAAUUGGCAUACACGCAUGCCUUAGGAGCAUGUCUCGCAAGAGGUGUGGGUUCGACUCCCACCCGCGGCA
rnacentral:tRNA from 1 species